GGCCCCCGCGCGGGAGAGCGGCGGCUGCUCCAAGCAUCGGGAGCAGGGAAGAGGCUGGAGCGGCGCGUGUCCGGCUGCCGGGCCUCGGAACGGUCAGAGACGGUACCUUUCGCUCCCCCCGGGCAAGGCUGUACUGGCGGCGGAGUCUCCCCUGGGCGGAGUUACUACAAGUAGAGCAGAGCUAACUUGUGUGGUAUUUAUAUAUAGAUAUAGGAUGGACGGAAGGGGGUGCUGCCGUUUCCGACAUAUCAAAGUAUAGCUUGUAUGUAUCCUGGCCGGGGGGGAGAGGCUCUUUCUUGUGCUGCACUGUUUUACUUCAGAGAUACAUGUACAGACAUUCUUUGCCCCCAGCAAUGCAUGUGCCUUUAGGAACCUGCAUAAUAGGUUUCAGAGUAGCAGCUGUGUUAGUCUGUAUUUGUGAGCUACAGCUCACUUCAUGAAAGCUUAUUAGUAACCUAAAAAAUCUGGUCCCCUGGCCCCAUGUUGCUUUUAUAUAGUGAGAGUUCAAAAAUUUUUUGGUUUUGUUCUUGUCUGAAAUGGCUUCUUGGUUAUUUUACCUCAAGCUGGUUUGGAAAUGUGGUAGGUGGUUGAGCCUAUUAGAAAGUAAAAGUCACAAUCUCUAGUGUGUUAUGGUUUUUUUUUUUUUUUUUAAUUUUGAAUGCUCAGUUAGGAAAAGUUAUGUUUUUAACUCUAUUUAGCUAGAUUUAUGUAAUUCUAGAGCAUUAAAACCUCACAGUUGCUUCUGCCAAUCCCAUUUGUGGGUGAUACAGAUCAAGGACUUCAUCAGUUAAGGCUAUGUUUUCCGUUGUAAUAAUGCUAAAAGAUGAGAUGCAAAUUUUAAUUUAACUGCUUUAAUUAAUUUCCAAAGCUCUGGGCUCAUGUGGUUGUUGGCAUUCAUAUUUGAAUAAACUUGGAAAGAUUGUAGGACUCCGUCCAUUACUCAGCUAUUAGUAGGACAGUGCGGAUACUGAAAUAGAAAAAGUCAGGUUAAUGACUGAUGUUUGGAACCUUAUUCUGAAUAUGUUGCUUCCUUUAAGGGGAACUGUUCUGUCAUUAUUGUAGACCUCCCUAAUGAAAUCCUGAGAUGCAGUCCUCUUGCUUUCAUGUCAGGAAUGUAUAUUAUCCUACCAUGUAAACAUUCAACUAGACUACUGAAAUCCAGUUUCUGCUGGUUCUACACUACAUGCUUUCCCAGACUGUGGGGCACAUCCCACUGGGACAGACCUCUCACUUGUUCUUCAGUCUCUAGCUGUUAUGGUUGUAUUUCACUGCUCACCAAUUAAGAUAUGUCAGCAUUUAACAACAACAGGGUUGUCCUAUAAAAAACAAUUUAAUAACUGCUCAGCUGAACCUUACCUCUUUCUGAAAAUGCCUGUCAAAAUUCACACUUUGUCUUGUCUUUUGACUUUACAGUUCAGUGCUGCUACCUUUCAUGGAAAUGGUAUUUACAAGAUGAAUAAAUAAAUAAGUCACCUCUUUCCUGCCCGCAGUAGUUCAAAUCCUUCAUUGAUUUUAUCGAAAGGCAAAGUGUGGGUUAUUAAGGCAUCCAGGUUGAAUUUUUUCCCCAUAUAGUCUGCAACUAGUUUUGGGACAGAAUCUUUGCUCUUCCAGCCUGAAAGACAGAAGAUUGUACAUUAUCUAUCAAUGUACUGCCACCGAAAUAAUCAGAGCAGUGCAUCAAUUGAGACUUUGUUGGGACUUGUCAAUGUACAUUUACUCAUGGAAUGCCAUGUGCAAACAAAAAGUUAAUAUCUUAAAAUGGAAGUGAUUCCUUACAGAGCAGGUUGCCAAAGAGCUAUAGUAAUACAUCAGCAGCCCCACAUUCUCACAUAUUCAUUUUAACCUGGGUCACUCCAAAUAGGUUCUGGGGGGGGGGCGCUAAAUUAGGCUGGAUGAAGCAAGCUUUACCAUGACAGUAACUGGUACCCCCAUCAUCUCCUGGGGCCCUUGGAUCCUUCAUAUCUCUCAUCCUGUGACCAUUACAUAACUGCUUAAUGUUGCAACAAUGUCCCUGAUCAACAGAACAGUGCUCAGAAUCUGUGAAUUUCACAAGCACACAAAAGAGUUUAGCCAGUUGUUCUCAUGUCAAUACCUCCAAAAACAGACCCCUUCCAGGUGCGGCCAGUGAAGAGCAGCAUAGGAUUGUAGGAGAUCUGUGAUGCUGUCGGAGGCACUCCUACAAUCACACUCGUUCCGUAGUUCUGGUGGCAGGAUGCCAGGGCAGCUGUCUGAUUUAAGACAAUGAAAUCAUCUUAAGUGGACAUUCCCAAUGAGAAGUAAAAUAAAUAUUGUGGCCCGUAUCCAUCCAUCUGCCAUCUUGAGUCAAGGAGGGACAAAAGUUGCUGGAUUGGGGGUGAACCCCAAUGCUGCUGCCUUGGGAAAGAAUGCAAUCCUCCACUCAGUUAUACCAGUUUUAUAUUAGUGUAACUCAAUUAAUUUCAGUAGAGAUCAGUGGAGUUACAUGCCAUAAACUGCCUCCUAGUUGAAUACGGCCAGCAUAGGACACUAGAUAAGCGACUCGAAGCUGAUUAAUUUUGCACUACAUCAUCAUCUUACAUCUUUUGGUCACAUACCAUGGUAUCAGUGCGUCCAAUGACUUCAAAGGAAUAGUCCACACCAUUACCACCAGUCAGCUCCAUCAGAACAUCUUCAAUGGGCUUUGUGAAGUCCUGAGGGUUGAUGCAUUCGGUGGCUCCUAACUCUUUAGCCUUGGCAAAUUUGCCCUUGUUGAUGUCAACCCCAAUGAUCCGGGAAGCACCAGCGGCUUUACAGCCCAUGACAACGGAGAGGCCAACUCCUCCCAGACCGAAGACGGCACAGGUAGAACCACGUUCCACCUGCAUAAUCAUAAAAACAUCAGAUUCUCUUAGAAUCCAAGUGAUAUAUAGUGAUUCCACUGCAUGAGUUAUCCUGUAAAUCUUUUCAUUUUAGGCUCUGCUUGUAUUGGAUACAACACUUGUCAAUUGGAUGAAAGCAUUUUUGCUAUUCAAAGUAAAGGUUCCCAUUACUGGAUUACAACUGGAUAAAACCUACCAAAGCACAUGUUGGAGAAUAGGUUUCUUUGGGCUCAGCCUGUUCUAGAGAUGAGGCCAGCUGUAAAAUCAGAUACUCAUGUGGAUUUGGAUUCGUAACCCUCCAUGUAAACUUUGGAGCUCUUCACAUCCAUGGCUUUGGUUGGAGCCUCUCUCUAGUUUUCAUUAAAUAUAGCCAGAAAAGAAACCUGAACUGGGCCAAUUUUGCAGCAUGAAAGCUGUUGCCACAGAAAACUGUCGAGCCCCGAAGAACUCCGUGCUUACAGGGAACCAAUGAUUUCAUAGAAGGCCUUUAUUUAUUUAAUAUAAAUUAAAGGAAACCUUUUUGUAAUUCAGAAAAUGCAAGAUUAUUUACUCCUAAAAAUGAGCCAUAAGAUAGAUAGAUAAAUAAAAACUAACAAACAGAGAAAACCCUACAUAUGAUAAUAAUACUUGGCUUUUGUAUAUAGCUUUUCAUCUGUAGAACUCAAAGUGCUAAACAGCAUGUCAGCCGCAAAGCCAGUUCUCCUGACUCUCAGGCUGAUGCCCUCUUUACUGGACUAUACAAAUAAUCAGCACUAUCCCAACAACAGAGUUUGUCCUUUAAAUGCACAUGCUAAUCCUCACCUUGGCACUAUUGAGGGCAGCCCCAUAACCAGUGGAAAAUCCACAGCCAAUCAGACACACUUUUUCCGGAGGAGCAACUGCAUCAAUUUUGGCAACUGAUGUCUCGUGCACCACUGUAUAUUCAGUGAAGGUGCUUGUACUAGCAAAUUGAUGAAUCUGUUUUCCUUUGCAGGUAAACCUAGUGGUGCCAUCGUUCAUUAAUCCACAAGCUGCACCAAGGCUAUUCAAAAGACAACCAAAAAUAAAAUCUAUACCAUGGAACCUGCUACGAGAGUUUAAUUUGAAGAUUCAAAACACAGGAGCAUCUGCUAUUUUGCGGAGAUGUCUGCAGACACGCUCCAGCGUACACGAACAGGGAAAAAUCUACAUAACUUCAAAUUCAACAACCAGUACAAACAAUCCAAGAUGAAACUCAGCUUCGACAACAGUUUUCAUUUUACUGAAACGUAUUCAAGAACAGAAGAUAGUCACAAAUCCCUCCUCACAGUUCAGAGUCACUGGGAAAAGAGUACAAGCGUUGGUGUCCCAUCUUACAGUGUACAGAGGAAGAUGAGAACCUCCUCCUCGGGUUUUAUAUUUACCAGCUCUAUGGCACAGAGAAUAUGGUGAAAGAAAUAAUAAACAAUGAAAUGGUAUUCUGUGAGAGAACAGGCACAGGAACUAAAUCUUUUGUCUGGAAGAUGAAUUAAGUACAUGAAUUAAGACACUUUCUGUGCUAGUGUCACUUAAUACUAAGUGUGAAAUAAAGUGUGAAUUUCAGUACCAUCAAAGUCUGAUGACCUGGGCCCUGAUUGAGCAAGGUAUUUGAGCACAUGCCUAACAAAAUAGUCACACUGACGUAAAUGGCAUUAUUUGUAUGCACAAAGGUAGGCACAUGUUAAAAUUCCUUGCUGAACGGAAACCCUAAUGAGGAUCUGAACUCAAAAUGGUAGCUCACAUUUGGUUCCCUUUGAGUGAAAUACAAAUAAGCACCUCUUUUGAAUGCUGGGGAACGGGGAGCACUUCACAGUCACAUAAAACUAGACGUGAACAGGCAAACAUUUUUGAAAUAGGAAAGAUCAUUUGGGAGUAUAGCAAGAAAGACUUAAACAACAUAUUUCUCCUCCAAAAUAUCCUUGAUGAGGCCCUGUGAAAGUUGAAUGUUGGACUACUUGUUUCCUCUGCAAUAAAGGAGUUCAUACAUGUGAGUGUCUUUGAUAUUGGAGCAGGGCGUGUGAAUGCUCAGUGAGAACUACUUAUCAUUGGUUAGUGCUUAAUGCUUUCUUAUACCUGGU